AAGGCUAUACUUUCAGGGAUCAUUUCUAUAGUUCGUUACUAGAGAAGCUUCUCUGAUCGUGUAGAGUACCAGAAACCACGAGGAGGAGGCGUAGUGUUCCUUCCUGAGCGUGAAGCUGGCUCUCGGUGUUGCUUUGCUGCAGCUGCCGUUUGCCAUUGAUGAUCGUUCUCAUUCUCUCUUCGGAGUGAGUGAGGGGGAAGGAACGCAGUCUGAGUGGNN
rnacentral:snoRNA from 1 species